CAGCCUUUCUGAAUUGCCCCGGUGAUGGGGCCAUACAACCUCCGCUGCCUCCUCCUUCCCCGCCUCACUCGUGAAGGCUCAGUCGUGAUUUUUUCAAAGUUAAUCGGCACCACCUGCAUACCCUCGGCAACCAUUACUCACCAACACGCCCUCACCGUUCCCAGUCCCAGUUCUGCGACAUUUAAACUUUUAAUCGUGUUCAAAUUACCCUACCAUCUUGAAUGUACCAGUAAGCCACACUUUCAACUUUUUCAGAAGAAUAAAACCCCCACCUCCUCCGGCCGUAGACACCGGGGGGAGUUCUCGCUCCCCGCAUCCCCGCGCUUCCCUACUAACCCCCACCCGACACCACCAAAACAAAAGCUAUCAGAUUGCAAAAGACAGCGAAUGUGGAGCGACACUGCUUAUUAACUACGUACAAAGGAAGUGCGGGGCGGCAGAAGAGAGGGCGACACGACGCCGACCACAACAAAACCAAGGCCAGGGCUCCGCGCUCGCAAAACACAACACCCUCCCCGCGCCGCCGCAGACCCUGGCGCUGAAACCACAGCGUACGACACCUCUCGCCAGGGACGGGCGUCUAGGUGUCCCCGUGAGGCGGCGACUACACCCCGCGCUGCGAGCACGUGUGUCGGAAUGCACGUCGGCUCCGACCACACACCCACCAACGCACACUCGGAUGCGGCCCUAGUACCCCUCCAUCCCCCGGCCCGGGAGAAACUGGGAGACCAUCCCAGAGCCCUCUGAACUGGGGACCCAGUGGCGCUCCCCGGAAGAGACAAGCUGAGGAAGACUCCCGGCCUCGCACUUCCCGGGGGGCUGCCCAGAGAGCGCUUCCCCUCACCCCACCGCCCAGCCCCGGGACGCCGGGGGCAGGUAACCCAACGAGGAGCGGGCCAAAGUGACGGGCAAGGCCAGGAACCCGAGGAGCCCGAGGGGCAAAAGCACGUUGGGCGACGGGAGGCAGCGACGGGCGCUUGGAGACGUGUCCUGGGGCUUCGGGGCCUCUCCGCAGGGCACCUCCCCCCUCGAGGGCAACUCGCACCCCGCGGGCCGGGCGGCUGCCCGCUCCCCACUGCCCGGUCAGCCCCAGCAGCGGAGACGCGGUGCGGCCCAGGGUGCUGUCGCUGCUGCCUGCGCGCCGCAGGGGAUCAGCGCUGUGUGCGGAGAGGCUCUUGCGCAUGGAAGGGGCGAGGUGCGGGUCGCGGGGCCCGGGAACCGCGGAGCCCGCCCCGGCACCAACUUCCCUACCGAGUCCUCGCGCCUAGCCGGGAAACACGGCUGGGCUGUCAGGACGGAGAAAGAGAAAAGCCCUUCCCGCGCGGGGAUGCGCGGAGCCAGGGCCCGCGGGGCUCCAGACGAACGAGCCCGGGUCCCGGGUCCGCUGCAGCCUCCCUCCCGGCAGAGCCGCCCUGCGCCCCACCCCGCCGCUCCCGAGCCCGGGGGCCCGACAGCUGCGACGGUGGCAACUCGGGUUUCGCAAACAGGGCGCAGCCCCUCGGAGGAAAAGUUCCCGCAGUGGCCGCGGGCGGCGGGCACAUACUCACUUUCUCCACUCGUCGGCCAGAGCGAGAGCGCGGCGGAGAGAAACAGGAGCCCCCACAGCGAGGUCGGGGACCCUCCUCCGGAGCCAGACUUCAUUCCUUUUAUUUGGGAUGAAAUUCCCCUUUCUCAAAAAAAAAAAAAAAAAAAAAAAAGAAAAGAAAAGAAAAAAAGGAAAUGAAAGGAAACAAGUCUCAAACUCAGUCUUCGCUCCCCCUCCAAAAACAAGGGCGAAGGAAACAAUACUCCGAAGGCGGCGCCGCCGGGGCCCUCCGGGUGCGCGGACGGGGCGGGCGGCGCGGGGCGGCCCCUCAGCGCCGGCAGCAGCGGCCCAGGGCUCGGCGGAGUCGGGAACCCGAGGCGCGCCGGGGCGGGCUGUCGGCGUCGUCGGCCUCCAUUUUCAAACCCGGAGAGGCAGGAAGGGGGGAAAACUGCAAAGAAAGGGGGCAAAGCCCAAAUCUGCCUAGGCGAGGAAAAACAAGCCCGGCCCUGGCCGCGCGGGAGGCGGCCGGACGCCCGAGCUUCCGCCGCGGGAGGGCGCGACGCAGUUCGCAAGAUCGCCCCGAAGUCCGGGUCACAGGCGAGGCCGGCGAGGGGCAGAAACGCGGAGUCAAAAUGAAUGAGCGGCUCCCCCUCCUCCUCCUCCUCCUGGCUCCGCUCGCCGCCGCCUCCUCCCUCAGCGCCGCCGCCGCCGCGGCGAGCUCCUUCCCAAAUCCAGGACACACACAAAGCGGCGGGCCGGCCGCGCCGCGCUCAGCACUCCCGCCGCGCCGCCCGGCUCUGCGCCGCCGCCCGCCCCGCGCCGGCCCCCGCCCGGCCCCCGCCCGCCGCCGCCUGCUCUGCGCGGGGGCUCCGGCUCGCUGAAGGUCACAGCCGAGGCGAGGCGCGCCGUGGAGCUGCCCCCGCGCGGGAGGGGCGUGGAGGGCGCGGGGGGAUCCGGGGAGCGGGGCCGAGGGUCUGCGAGCGCCGGCCGUGGGCAGGCUCGCUGGCGGCGUCCCUCUCGCUCUCCCGCCUCUCUCGAGUUCGCCUGGUGCGCUCGCUCCUCCUCGGGUUUUUUCCCUUUUUUUUUCCGCUCAGCGGAGUUAAUGCUGGUAAACAAGAGCCCCAGCCUCGCCGCGCCGCCGCCGCCGCUGCCACACACUGGGGGCUCGCGCGCGCGCGCGCGCCCUGGCCCGCGCACACGCGCCCGCUCGCACACUCGAGCGGCCACCGCCGCAGCAGCGGCGCGCCGAGGGCCCGGCCCAGGCCGGCGCGCGCAAAAAACCGGAGCCCGGUUCCCCAAGACGUGCGGAGCGGAGCCCGGGCGUGGGGCGCGAGACUGCGAGGCGCCGCCCCCAUCUCCCGCCCCACCGCCUCCCGCGCGCACACAGAGACACGCGCGCGUGCCCACCCGCUCCCGCCCCCACCGCACUGCGCCGGCCACCCCGCACGCGCCCUCCCCUCCCGCCCGACUCCAAAAACAAUGCCCCCGCCGCCGGUCCGGUCUCGGCGGGGCAGGGGUGGGUAGCCAGGGAAAGGCUAGGCAGGGGAGGGGUGGGCAGGAGAGGGGAGGGGUGGGCGGGGAGUGCGGGGCUGGGAGAGGUUCAUUGAAAACAACAACAGCGCGGCUGGAAAGCGCGUUUCCCCGGUUCUUGAAAAGCUUCAUUGUUUCUUGCAGCUGUUGCAAAAUAAAUAAAUGCGUGCAUGCGGCAUUUUUUUCGCUGCGUACUGGAAAGCCCGAACGUGGCGGAAGGGGCGCACCUGGGAGAAAGGGGACCCCCCCCCCAGGCUACUACGCCGGGCACUUUCACGCCAGGCUGGGGUGCCCGCGGCGUUGCGACCGUGGAGCCCGGAGUUUGGGGGCUCAGGGGGAGCGGAGGGGGAAGGGCGCGGCCCGUGUGGCUCGGCCCAGAGUGGCUCGAGGAGAGAGGACCCCGCCGCCCCUCGCGGGCCCCGCGCCCCGGAAGGGGGGCCCAGACAGGCAGCGCCGCGUGCCCCGGGCGCGUCCCCGCGGCGGCCGCCAGAGGGCGCGGCGGGCGCUGGGGAGGGCAGCCCGCGGAGAGUCGCCUCCCUCCCUCCGGGGGAGGAAAUGUGGGGGCCCGGGCUGGGGGCCGACUCGGCUGGGUCGCGCUGGCGUGGCCUCCCGGACCAGCCGCCCGCCCUGAGCGCUCUCCGCGGCCUCGCGCAGCUCAGGGCUCCACCACGUGGGCGGCUGCGGGGAGCGGCCGGGGCGCGUGCACGCUGCGGGUCUCCGAAGCUCGGGGGGCGUGUCCGGGUCCCGGGGCGCCGAGGAGGGGGUGGAGGCUGGGGCCGGGAAGCCUCCCUUGGCCGCGGUCCCGACCCGGGAACACGCCGCAUGCACUCGGGAUCAGCGGCUACUGCGGAAACCCACCCGCACCUGUCUCGGGUCCUCCCAGGCACGUUCCUCUUGCUUCGUUUGCUACGUAAGUGACUGGAAACCAGUACCGACCCUAAGUCUCCGCGGUUGUUUUCUUGAAUGUGCAGGAGGAGAGGUUUCCCCAAAGCGAGACUCCCCUAGGACUGCCAUCUAAUGAAUAAAUGCUGCGGAGACCAGGUCCUCAAAGAGGGAAACAGCCCAGCAGUGGCAGGAGAGAGGAGUUUGAAAUACGUGGACUUUUACAAACAGUGAUUGGACCAUGUGUCGCCCUUAAUGUGGUCCGGUUUCAUGACUCAGGCUAAUUGAUGCCAGUAAUAAAUUUUUUUAAGAUAGCUAAUAAAAGAGUUGUGAAUUGUCGAGAUAAGAAGUGGUUGUCUCAAACAAUCGGGUAGGAUGGUAGAAGGGACCUGAUGUAAAGGAAGGUAGUAGGUUUCUUUUACUCUCUAAUUCUAAAAUACUUCUGCAUUAGAACGUGUAUCCAUCGUUCGUAAAUAAUUUUUUAAGAGCUGAAAACAAGUCAAAAGCUAUCAUAACGGAAACUUAGCCCUUUUUUUCUAAAGUUGUUUCCUAGAUCAUUUUCCUCCUUGGAAAUUUCUAGCUCAAUUCAGAGUCAGUUGUAUAGAAAGAAAAUAAACCUUGUUUUACCUAAGAAAGUUAUUCAUAUGAUGGGAUGGUUUUGUUUAACUGAAAUUCAGCUUGAUUUUUAAAUAAAGAGUUUCAGUUUUGGAUGUUCCUAGAUUUAACAGUGAAAUAAAUUUAUUAGAAUCUUAAAAUGUAUUAUUUAAAAAUUAGGCACUACACAUGAAGAAUUAAAGUCCAGUCUACUAAUUUUUAAAUAUUUCUUAAGUUCUCUGCAUGAGGUUGGUCUUGAUUCCUGCAGAUCCACUCUGGAGUUAAAUGCAAAGGAAUAUUGAUAUAUAAUUUCAUUAUACUUGAUUUCAGAAUUUUUAAUACAUACUUGUAAGACAAAAAUUUAGAGCUGAUUUUUAAAAGGCUAGUGCUAAUAUAAAAUCUUCAAAUACUACCCAAUGUAUUUUUAGUAUUAGUAAUAAAUAUGCCUGUUUAUUUGUCCCCAAGAACAUAAAGAGGUCUAUAGAAUUUUUAAAUGUAUAUAGGUUGUUGUAGGGGUUGUAGGAUUUGUUUUUGUGUGUUUUUUUUUUACUAAAAUGAUUUUUAUUUGUGAAUUUUUUAAAUGUUUGUGUUUUCCUGAAGUAGUAGGAAAUCAAUCGUAUUAAGUUAUUUUAAACAGUGAAGUGGGAGAUGUAUCAUUAUAUAGCUUAAUAUUUAGGGAAAAAAAAGGAACAAAAAUUUAGGUUGUCUUUACGCUCUAACUUGACCACAUGGACAAAGGAGGUGAUUUGUAUUUCUUCAAUGAUUAUAUUUUACAUACACAAGUCAAACUUAUUUUUUCAACCUUGAAAUAAAAUCAUGUAGACAAAAAAAAAAA
rnacentral:lncRNA from 1 species